AAAGUAAAUCAAUCAAUAAAUAAAAUAGCCAAAUCCAUUUUAAUGACCUUUUAUAUAAACCGUUUCUUUCCAGGCUGAGAUUGCAUAUAUUGCUAUGUUCCACCCCAUCGCAAACUUUUACAGCUGAGUUAUAAACUCCUAGAGAAGGGCACGUAUAAAACUCAAACAGACUCUGGCAUUGGGAAGUGUAUUUCCAGGUGUAAGGAGGACAAUUGAUUUGAGUCAUCCUAAACUAAGUAAAUAGGGGAUUUGCCUUCAAACUUAGAGAUGAAGAGAAGAGGCAGGCAGAGGAAUGCUAAGGGAAAGCCCACUCGUUGCUGUAGCUUCAUACCAAGCUUAGCCUGAGUUCAGUGCUGAAGACUUAUAACCCUCAGGCUCUUUCUCCCUUUGCCCUCUCUACGGAAGAAAAUAACGCCUUGGUCCAAAGAGAGUAGGGGAAGCGGAGAGAAGACACCACCUGGAAAAUGCAUGAAGCAAACCAAGCCCUCAUGCUGUUUUAUGAGAGAGAAGCCUGGCAACUCUAUGAAGAAACCUUGCAAAAAACAGGGAAGGCUACUGUAUGGAAACCAGCUCCUUCAUUCAUUCUUGAGGCCACUUCUCAUUUGUGGCCCAUAAAUACAGCACAGAACUCACUAGCAUUGCAUAAUACUCACCAAAUAAUGUAUACAAGCACCCAGACUGAAGCAAUAUUCCCAUUCCCAUGCAAUACAAGACCCUUGAGUAUUGCAAGUAUUGUAUUAGCCUUUUUUGUGCUGUUUAUUCUAUGAAAUUAAUAAAUAUGGCACUAAAUCAACUCA